GAUGAAGAACGUAGCGAAAUGCGAUAAGUAAUGUGAAUUGCAGAAUUCAGUGAAUCAUCGAAUCUUUGAACGCACAUUGCGCCCUCUGGUAUUCCAGAGGGCAUGCCUGUUCGAGCGUCAUUUCAACCCUCAAGCCCAGCUUGGUGUUGGGGCAUUGCCUUUUCCCUCCGGGGAGAGGGCAAGCCCUGAAAUUCAGUGGCGAGCUCGCCAGGACUCCGAGCGUAGUAGUAAAACCCUCGCUUUGGACUGUUCUGGUGCGGCCCUGCCGUAAAACCCCCCCAACUUCUGAAAAUUUGACCUCGGAUCAGGUAGGAAUACCCGCUGAACUUAAGCAUAUCAAUAAGCGGAGGA
rnacentral:misc_RNA from 1 species